UCUACUCUCUCUACGGGCGCUCUCUCUCCUCUACUCUCUCCCCUCCUCGCUUGCUCCCUCUCUCUCCCCGAUCUACUCUCCCUCCUCUCCAGCCCUCUAUCUACACUCUUUGUGGCGCGCACGAUGAAAUCCGGGAACCUUUCUUGAAUGAACUCAAAUUAUCAAAUCAACUCUCGAUGUUCGAUGUUCGAUGUCCAUCAGUUCAAGAUACUUUGCGAGCUCCUCCAGUCAACAUGAACAUCCAACAAUGAUACUGUAGUUCGAGACCCUGAGCUCCGAAUGGUUAUUCAGCUUCAAGGUUAUCAGCGGAAGAAUUUUUCAACCUUCCUUGUUCAAGUAGGCAUUGUGAAGAAGGAACACAUCAAGAUACAUGGUUUUUGUUAGGUCCAAAGUAUCGUAGAAGGGGGGGUUGAAUACGAUACUCACUACAAUUUAAAAUUCUUUCGAAUCUUGCGGAUAAAUAAAUUGCAGUCCUGUAAUGGGUUUCGUGUUCCGGAUAUUUAUUAGGUCGGUUUCUGAGGAUAUGAAAAUAUUAAACCAA